rnacentral:rRNA from 1 species
CUUUGGGAUAACCCUCGGAAACGGGGGCUAAUACCGGAUAUGACUGCUGGUCGCAUGGCUGGUGGUGGAAAGUUUUUCGGCUGGGGAUGGGCUCGCGGCCUAUCAGCUUGUUGGUGGGGUGAUGGCCUACCAAGGCGGUGACGGGUAGCCGGCCUGAGAGGGCGACCGGCCACACUGGGACUGAGACACGGCCCAGACUCCUACGGGAGGCAGCAGUGGGGAAUAUUGCACAAUGGGCGCAAGCCUGAUGCAGCGACGCCGCGUGAGGGAUGACGGCCUUCGGGUUGUAAACCUCUUUCGGCAGGGACGAAGCCUUCGGGUGACGGUACCUGUAGAAGAAGCGCCGGCCAACUACGUGCCAGCAGCCGCGGUAAGACGUAGGGCGCGAGCGUUGUCCGGAUUUAUUGGGCGUAAAGAGCUCGUAGGCGGCUUGUCGCGUCGACUGUGAAAACCCGGGGCUUAACUUCGGGCUUGCAGUCGAUACGGGCAGGCUGGAGUUCGGUAAGGGAGACUGGAAUUCCUGGUGUAGCGGUGAAAUGCGCAGAUAUCAGGAGGAACACCGGUGGCGAAGGCGGGUCUCUGGGCCGAUACUGACGCUGAGGAGCGAAAGCGUGGGGAGCGAACAGGAUUAGAUACCCUGGUAGUCCACGCUGUAAACGUUGGGCGC